rnacentral:ncRNA from 1 species
AUAAAAUCUGUGAUCAGAAAGAGUAGAUAUGGAAGUUUAGUCAAAGCGAUUCCGGGGUGGUGUGAGCCGGUUACUGUAGUCUGUAUUGAAUGGAUCUGUGAGAUGGUGUGCGAAAUAUUUACAUAGAUUAGCACUUCCCGGUAGUCUACCGUUAAAAAGACGGGAUAUUGAAAAAGUAUCCUCAUGAGAGAGUUUUUUUAGGUGGCGAAUGAAUGCGACACUUCAUCCUAAUGAUGAAGUGUCUUUUUGUAUUUAUGUUUAUAUCGUCAGCUUUAUAAGAACUAAUUUGGGUGGCAACGCGAGUCAUUUCGUCCCAUUG